AGUUGAAGCUCCAACACAAGACCAUCUGUGAGGGGCUGGAGUCUGAGUACUGGUGGGUGCUCAGCAACGAAUUUUAUCAUUUGUUCCCGGAGCUUCCUCCUCAGCACUUCGGUACUGUGGCUGCUGUGGCCUGCAUCAAGCGCAUUGGAACAUCGA